rnacentral:sRNA from 2 species
CAAAUAGAGCGCUAGGGUUCCGGCUGAGCUGUUCAGUGACUGGUCCAAGAGCACUCGACCUNUCAGACAAAGGUUACACGGCGGGACAAAAGCCCGGGAGAC